CCAGGAUGAAGCUGCCGUAAGAGGUAGUGGAGGUCCGAACACACAUCCGUUGAAAAGGGUGGUGAUGAGGUGUGGAUAGGGGAGAAAUUCCAAUCGAACCCGGAGAUAGCUGGUUCUCCUCGAAAUAGCUUUAGGGCUAGCCUUCAGUUAGUCUGCCGCAGGUAGAGCACUGAAUUUCCUAGGGGGCGUCAAAGCCUACCGAAGAAUAUCAAACUGCGAAUGGCGGACAGAUGAUGCUGGGGAGUCAGACUGCACGAGAUAAGUUGGGUGGUCAAAAGGGAAAGAGCCCAGACCUACAGCUAAGGUCCCAAAGUGCGUGUUAAGUGGAAAAGGAUGUGGGAUUUCGAAGACAACUAGGAUGUUGGCUCAGAAGCAGCCACACAUUAAAAGAGUGCGUAAUAGCUCACUAGUCGAGAGGUCCUGCGCCGAAAAUGUCCGGGGCUGAAACACGACACCGAAGCUUAGGAACAAAGAAACCAAGGUUUCUAUAUGUUGGUAGAGGAGCAUUGUUAGCGGAACGAAGCCAUACCGGAAGGAGUGGUGGACUGCUAAGAAGAGAGAAUGCCGGAAUGAGUAGCGAGAUUGAAGUGAGAAUCUUCAAGGCCGAAUAUCUAAGGUUUCCAGGGUAAAGCUGAUCUGCCCUGGGUAAGUCGGGGCCUAAGGCGAGGUCGAAAGACGUAGCCGAUGGACAACAGGUUGAAAUUCCUGUACUGCGAUAUAUCAGAAAUGUGGGGACACAGAAGGAAAGUGUGAGCCGGGAAAGGAAAGACCGGUGCAAGCACAGGAGGAGGGAUACAGGCAAAUCCGUAUUUCAAUCCAAUGGUGUUACGCGGAGCGAACAAAAGUAGCGAAGCACACAGACCAUCUGUCGAGAAAAGCCGCUAUUGUGUAUACCGUACCCGUACCGUAAACCGACACAGGUGGAUGAGGAGAGAAUCCUAAGGCCGGCGGGAGAAGCAUUGUUAAGGAACUCGGCAAAAUGACCCCGUAACUUCGGGAGAAGGGGUGCUCACGCAAGUGAGCCGCAGAGAACUGGCCCAAGCAACUGUUUAGCAAAAACACAGGUCUAUGCAAAACCGAAAGGUGAGGUAUAUGGGCUGACGCCUGCCCGGUGCUGGAAGGUUAAGAGGAGAUGUUAGAGCAAUCGAAGCAUUGAAUUUAAGCCCCAGUAAACGGCGGCCGUAACUAUAACGGUCCUAAGGUAGCGAAAUUCCUUGUCGGGUAAGUUCCGACCCGCACGAAAGGCGUAAUGAUUUGGGCACUGUCUCGACAAUGCACCCGGUGAAAUUGAAAUACCAGUGAAGAUGCUGGUUACCUGCGCCAGGACGGAAAGACCCCAUGGAGCUUUACUCUAGCUUGAUACUGGGAUUCGGUAUUGCAUGUACAGGAUAGGUGGGAGACUAAGAGGUGAUGACGCCAGUUGUCACGGAGUCGAUGUUGGGAUACCACCCCUGCAGUACUGGGUUUCUAACCUGCGGCCGUGACCCGGCCGGGGGACAAUGUCUGGUGGGGAGUUUGACUGGGGCGGUCGCCUCCGAAAGGGUAUCGGAGGCGCUCAAAGGUUCCCUCAGAAUGGUUGGAAACCAUUCGAAGAGUGCAAAGGCAGAAGGGAGCUUGACUGCGACACCGACGGGUGGAGCAGGUACGAAAGUAGGACUUAGUGAUCCGGUGGUAUGAAAGUGGGAUUGCCAUCGCUCAACGGAUAAAAGCUACCCUGGGGAUAACAGGCUUAUCACUCCCAAGAGUUCACAUCGACGGAGUGGUUUGGCACCUCGAUGUCGGCUCAUCGCAUCCUGGGGCUGUAGUAGGUCCCAAGGGUUGGGCUGUUCGCCCAUUAAAGCGGUACGCGAGCUGGGUUCAGAACGUCGUGAGACAGUUCGGUCCCUAUCCGGCGUGGGCGCAGGAUAUCUGAGAGGAGCUGUCCUUAGUACGAGAGGACCGGGAUGGACUGACCUCUGGUGCAUCGGUUGAGCCACCAGGCUCAUGGCCGAGUAGCCAAGUCGGGACGGGAUAAACGCUGAAGGCAUCUAAGCGUGAAGCCCCCCUCAAGAUGAGAUAUCCCAUAGAGUUAAUCUAGUAAGACCCCUUGAAGACGACGAGGUAGAUAGGCAGAAGGUGGAAGUGUGGUGACAUAUGGAGCUGAUCUGUACUAAUAGGUCGAGGGCUUAACCGA
rnacentral:rRNA from 1 species